rnacentral:pre_miRNA from 1 species
GGUUGGAUUACAGGGCAAAUACUCUAUUGGCAGAUAUAUAGUUUACGUUACAUCUAUAUUAUUUAUUAUCGAUGUAUGAAAAAUUCUUUACUGCCAAAGGAGAUUUGCCCCGCAAUUCAUCC